UACGGGGGGGGCAAGCGUUGUUCGGAAUUACUGGGCGUAAAGGGCUCGUAGGCGGCCCACUAAGUCAGACGUGAAAUCCCUCGGCUUAACCAGGGAACUGCGUCUGAUACUGGAUGGCUUGAGUUUGGGAGAGGGAUGCGGAAUUCCAGGUGUAGCGGUGAAAUGCGUAGAUAUCUGGAGGAACACCGGUGGCGAAGGCGGCAUCCUGGACCAACACUGACGCUGAGUGAGCGAAAGCCAGGGGAGCAAACGGG
rnacentral:rRNA from 1 species